rnacentral:tRNA from 1 species
GGGGUGGUGGCGCAGUUGGCUAGCGCGUAGGUCUCAUAGCUACUGAGUGAUCCUGAGGUCGAGCCUCUCUCACCCCA